AGGAUGUUGUGCUUAUGGUCAUAAUUGUCUCUAUAGACACCGAAUUCCUAAUGAAAAUGACGAAUUAGAAUUUGAAAUGUGUAUGGAUAUAUUUGGAAGAGAAAAAUUUAAUUCGUUUAAGGAAGAUAUGCCAAGAGGAGGUAAUUUUAAUAGUGAUUGUAGAACAUUAUUUAUUGGGAGUAUAUAUUUAAAUAAUGCAAAUGAUGCUUCUAUUGUUGAAAAAUUGUUAUAUGACGAAUUUAUAAAAUUUGGUAAUAUUGAUUAUAUUAGAUUUAUUCCAAAUAAAAGUAUAGCAUUUAUUCAAUAUACCAAUAGAGUUAAUGCAGAAUUUGCUAAAAUUGCUAUGUCAGAUCAACCGAUAGAAAAUCAUUCAACAGCAUUAGCUAUUAAAUGGGCAUUUGAAUUAAAAAAUCCACCACACCACUCAGUGCAUUAUUAUAAUAAUACUUUUAUGUAUAAUCAAAAUCAUACUACUACAAAUAAUAAUAUUAAUAAUAACAAUCAUCCAUUUAAUCAUAAUAAUGUUAAUAAUAUACAACCUACAUGGGAACAAUAUAUGGUAAUGACACAACAAUAUGGACUAAAUCCCUUUUUCCCUAAUUAUAAUAAUAUGAUAACUAAUCAUAGUAUGGAAACUACUUUGGGUACUUCUGUUGAUGUAGGUUUUCCUAAUGCUGUUAAUAAUAAUACCUAUGGUAACAUGAACACGUUUAACAAUUCUAAUAACAUAAACGGUGCAACUAAUUUUGUAUUCCCAUCACANNNNNNNNNNUUUUGUAUUUAUUUUGCACGAGGAUGUUGUGCUUAUGGUCAUAAUUGUCUCUAUAGACACCGAAUUCCUAAUGAAAAUGACGAAUUAGAAUUUGAAAUGUGUAUGGAUAUAUUUGGAAGAGAAAAAUUUAAUUCGUUUAAGGAAGAUAUGCCAAGAGGAGGUAAUUUUAAUAGUGAUUGUAGAACAUUAUUUAUUGGGAGUAUAUAUUUAAAUAAUGCAAAUGAUGCUUCUAUUGUUGAAAAAUUGUUAUAUGACGAAUUUAUAAAAUUUGGUAAUAUUGAUUAUAUUAGAUUUAUUCCAAAUAAAAGUAUAGCAUUUAUUCAAUAUACCAAUAGAGUUAAUGCAGAAUUUGCUAAAAUUGCUAUGUCAGAUCAACCGAUAGAAAAUCAUUCAACAGCAUUAGCUAUUAAAUGGGCAUUUGAAUUAAAAAAUCCACCACACCACUCAGUGCAUUAUUAUAAUAAUACUUUUAUGUAUAAUCAAAAUCAUACUACUACAAAUAAUAAUAUUAAUAAUAACAAUCAUCCAUUUAAUCAUAAUAAUGUUAAUAAUAUACAACCUACAUGGGAACAAUAUAUGGUAAUGACACAACAAUAUGGACUAAAUCCCUUUUUCCCUAAUUAUAAUAAUAUGAUAACUAAUCAUAGUAUGGAAACUACUUUGGGUACUUCUGUUGAUGUAGGUUUUCCUAAUGCUGUUAAUAAUAAUACCUAUGGUAACAUGAACACGUUUAACAAUUCUAAUAACAUAAACGGUGCAACU
rnacentral:lncRNA from 1 species